GCACUCUUGUUUCUCUUCAGAUCGUAUAAAUCUUUCGCCUUUUACUAAAGAUUUCCGUGGGGAGGAACAACAAGAGUUUGAUUCAAUUUUAUGAUGCCCUGCAGUAGUAGGGCU
rnacentral:snRNA from 1 species